rnacentral:rRNA from 1 species
UACGUAGGCAGCGAGCGUUGUUCGGAGUUACUGGGCGUAAAGAGUGCGUAGGCGGUUUUCUAAGUUUGGUGUGAAAUCUCCCGGCUCAACCGGGAGGGUGCGCCGAAAACUGGGGAACUGGAGUGCAGGAGAGGUAAGCGGAAUUCCUGGUGUAGCGGUGAAAUGCGUAGAUAUCAGGAGGAACACCUGUGGUGUAGACGGCUUACUGGACUGCAACUGACGCUGAGGCACGAAAGCGUGGGUAGCAAACAGG